CCGCCUUGCAUCAACUGAAU
rnacentral:ncRNA from 2 species